GGGUUGUGAGGUUAAGCGACUAAGCGUACACGGUGGAUGCCCUGGCAGUCAGAGGCGAUGAAGGACGUGCUAAUCUGCGAUAAGCGUCGGUAAGGUGAUAUGAACCGUUAUAACCGGCGAUUUCCGAAUGGGGAAACCCAGUGUGUUUCGACACACUAUCAUUAACUGAAUCCAUAGGUUAAUGAGGCGAACCGGGGGAACUGAAACAUCUAAGUACCCCGAGGAAAAGAAAUCAACCGAGAUUCCCCCAGUAGCGGCGAGCGAACGGGGAGCAGCCCAGAGCCUGAAUCAGUGUGUGUGUUAGUGGAAGCGUCUGGAAAGGCGCGCGAUACAGGGUGACAGCCCCGUACACAAAAAUGCACAUGCUGUGAGCUCGAUGAGUAGGGCGGGACACGUGGUAUCCUGUCUGAAUAUGGGGGGACCAUCCUCCAAGGCUAAAUACUCCUGACUGACCGAUAGUGAACCAGUACCGUGAGGGAAAGGCGAAAAGAACCCCGGCGAGGGGAGUGAAAAAGAACCUGAAACCGUGUACGUACAAGCAGUGGGAGCACGCUUCGGCGUGUGACUGCGUACCUUUUGUAUAAUGGGUCAGCGACUUAUAUUCUGUAGCAAGGUUAACCGAAUAGGGGAGCCGAAGGGAAACCGAGUCUUAACUGGGCGUUAAGUUGCAGGGUAUAGACCCGAAACCCGGUGAUCUAGCCAUGGGCAGGUUGAAGGUUGGGUAACACUAACUGGAGGACCGAACCGACUAAUGUUGAAAAAUUAGCGGAUGACUUGUGGCUGGGGGUGAAAGGCCAAUCAAACCGGGAGAUAGCUGGUUCUCCCCGAAAGCUAUUUAGGUAGCGCCUCGUGAAUUCAUCUCCGGGGGUAGAGCACUGUUUCGGCAAGGGGGUCAUCCCGACUUACCAACCCGAUGCAAACUGCGAAUACCGGAGAAUGUUAUCACGGGAGACACACGGCGGGUGCUAACGUCCGUCGUGAAGAGGGAAACAACCCAGACCGCCAGCUAAGGUCCCAAAGUCAUGGUUAAGUGGGAAACGAUGUGGGAAGGCCCAGACAGCCAGGAUGUUGGCUUAGAAGCAGCCAUCAUUUAAAGAAAGCGUAAUAGCUCACUGGUCGAGUCGGCCUGCGCGGAAGAUGUAACGGGGCUAAACCAUGCACCGAAGCUGCGGCAGCGACACUAUGUGUUGUUGGGUAGGGGAGCGUUCUGUAAGCCUGUGAAGGUGUACUGUGAGGUAUGCUGGAGGUAUCAGAAGUGCGAAUGCUGACAUAAGUAACGAUAAAGCGGGUGAAAAGCCCGCUCGCCGGAAGACCAAGGGUUCCUGUCCAACGUUAAUCGGGGCAGGGUGAGUCGACCCCUAAGGCGAGGCCGAAAGGCGUAGUCGAUGGGAAACAGGUUAAUAUUCCUGUACUUGGUGUUACUGCGAAGGGGGGACGGAGAAGGCUAUGUUGGCCGGGCGACGGUUGUCCCGGUUUAAGCGUGUAGGCUGGUUUUCCAGGCAAAUCCGGAAAAUCAAGGCUGAGGCGUGAUGACGAGGCACUACGGUGCUGAAGCAACAAAUGCCCUGCUUCCAGGAAAAGCCUCUAAGCAUCAGGUAACAUCAAAUCGUACCCCAAACCGACACAGGUGGUCAGGUAGAGAAUACCAAGGCGCUUGAGAGAACUCGGGUGAAGGAACUAGGCAAAAUGGUGCCGUAACUUCGGGAGAAGGCACGCUGAUAUGUAGGUGAAGUCCCUCGCGGAUGGAGCUGAAAUCAGUCGAAGAUACCAGCUGGCUGCAACUGUUUAUUAAAAACACAGCACUGUGCAAACACGAAAGUGGACGUAUACGGUGUGACGCCUGCCCGGUGCCGGAAGGUUAAUUGAUGGGGUCAGCGCAAGCGAAGCUCUUGAUCGAAGCCCCGGUAAACGGCGGCCGUAACUAUAACGGUCCUAAGGUAGCGAAAUUCCUUGUCGGGUAAGUUCCGACCUGCACGAAUGGCGUAAUGAUGGCCAGGCUGUCUCCACCCGAGACUCAGUGAAAUUGAACUCGCUGUGAAGAUGCAGUGUACCCGCGGCAAGACGGAAAGACCCCGUGAACCUUUACUAUAGCUUGACACUGAACAUUGAGCCUUGAUGUGUAGGAUAGGUGGGAGGCUUAGAAGUGUGGACGCCAGUCUGCAUGGAGCCGACCUUGAAAUACCACCCUUUAAUGUUUGAUGUUCUAACGUGGACCCGUGAUCCGGGUUGCGGACAGUGUCUGGUGGGUAGUUUGACUGGGGCGGUCUCCUCCUAAAGAGUAACGGAGGAGCACGAAGGUUGGCUAAUCCUGGUCGGACAUCAGGAGGUUAGUGCAAUGGCAUAAGCCAGCUUGACUGCGAGCGUGACGGCGCGAGCAGGUGCGAAAGCAGGUCAUAGUGAUCCGGUGGUUCUGAAUGGAAGGGCCAUCGCUCAACGGAUAAAAGGUACUCCGGGGAUAACAGGCUGAUACCGCCCAAGAGUUCAUAUCGACGGCGGUGUUUGGCACCUCGAUGUCGGCUCAUCACAUCCUGGGGCUGAAGUAGGUCCCAAGGGUAUGGCUGUUCGCCAUUUAAAGUGGUACGCGAGCUGGGUUUAGAACGUCGUGAGACAGUUCGGUCCCUAUCUGCCGUGGGCGCUGGAGAACUGAGGGGGGCUGCUCCUAGUACGAGAGGACCGGAGUGGACGCAUCACUGGUGUUCGGGUUGUCAUGCCAAUGGCACUGCCCGGUAGCUAAAUGCGGAAGAGAUAAGUGCUGAAAGCAUCUAAGCACGAAACUUGCCCCGAGAUGAGUUCUCCCUGACUCCUUGAGAGUCCUGAAGGAACGUUGAAGACGACGACGUUGAUAGGCCGGGUGUGUAAGCGCAGCGAUGCGUUGAGCUAACCGGUACUAAUGAACCGUGAGGCUUAACCUUACAACGCCGAAGCUGUU
rnacentral:rRNA from 1 species